rnacentral:rRNA from 1 species
GAAUUCGCCCUUCGCCCGCCGCGCGCGGGCGGGGCGGGGGCACGGGGGGCCUACGGGAGGCAGCAGUGAGGAAUCUUGCGCAAUGGGGGAAACCCUGACGCAGCAACGCCGCGUGAGUGAGGAAGGCCUUCGGGUCGUAAAGCUCUGUCAGAUGGGAAGAAAUGGGUGGGGGCUAAUAUCGCCCAUCCUUGACGGUACCAUCAGAGGAAGCACCGGCUAACUCCGUGCCAGCAGCCGCGGUAAUACAAGGGCGAAUUC